CUACGGGAGGCAGCAGUGGGGAAUAUUGGACAAUGGGCGCAAGCCUGAUCCAGCGACGCCGCGUGGGGGAUGACGGCCUUCGGGUUGUAAACCCCUUUCGCCAGGGACGAAGAGAGAUUGACGGUACCUGGAGAAGAAGGACCGGCCAACUACGUGCCAGCAGCCGCGGUAAUACGUAGGGUCCGAGCGUUGUCCGGAAUUACUGGGCGUAAAGAGCUCGUAGGUGGUUUGUCGCGUUGUUCGUGAAAACUCACAGCUUAACUGUGGGCGUGCGGGCGAUACGGGCAGACUGGAGUACUGCAGGGGAGACUGGAAUUCCUGGUGUAGCGGUGGAAUGCGCAGAUAUCAGGAGGAACACCGGUGGCGAAGGCGGGUCUCUGGGCAGUAACUGACGCUGAGGAGCGAAAGCGUAGGGAGCAAACAGGAUUAGAAACCCGUGUAGUCC
rnacentral:rRNA from 1 species